rnacentral:misc_RNA from 1 species
GGUUUCAUAGUUUGGCACGUUGAAAUGAAGCUGCUCUUUUUCUCUAUGAUAUCAUCGUCAGGCACAAACAAGUUGAGCUCCAAAGUUACGUCUGUCCGUUGUUCUGUUUUCACAGUAAAACCAGCCACUUGCAUUUGAUGCGUACAGUGAACUGACUUCAACGUACAGGGAAGAAUCGGCUCCAGCUGCCGUAACUUUUUUACCAGAGUCGAGACAUUGCAUGUUCUGUUGUUCUACUUACGGAAAAGAAAAGGCAAAAAGCUCAAUUGAU